rnacentral:misc_RNA from 1 species
GUUAAGAUUGAUCUUGAGAGAAUGUUGGCUGAAAGACAAUGAGGAGUCAAGAAGAUGACGGCCGGUAAACGUCUCAAGUCAACUCACUCCAUCUCUUGGAGCCUUGCUUCAUAAAAUUUGACCAACCACCUUGCCCAGACCGGUCACCGUGGCAACUGAACAGCCUCAGGCCCCGCCUCCAGCAGCCAUUGGUCAAGAUCGUCGCUUACCAAUUCCAAUCAGCAAUGAGCGUAGUUGAGGGCAACGCAAGACACCUGUCAGCUUUGUUGUUGUACCUGUCAGUGAUCUGGGUUACCCUGUUGGUUCACCAGGGAGUAGCAUCUGGGCUUAUACACCAGGGAGCAGCGGUGACUGGAUCCCAAGUAGCAACUUAGAGGACAUACCAGGCACAGCAGCUAACAGGAUGCCUAACUUCCCCCAUCAAGACACUGUCAAGAGAGGAUGGCUUCCAAAUGAACAAACACCUGUCAGCCGGUUUGGUGAGCAACAUGAGCCAGUGUCUGGCAUGCAUCAUAACAUGGCCAUGGGAGAUGGGGGAGGGGUGACAGCUCAUGGAAUGGCAGGAGCGGUCUGGAACCCUGUAGCCACCAUGCAACUUCAUGGCACCAAUCCAAAGGUGUGGGGAGCAUCAAGGAGCCAGUCAGUCAUGUGACAUGAGAACACCUCUCUGUCCAUUCCUAUAGAGGGCGCUGUUCGUCAUAGCCGCAGCAUCCACAAGCGAUAUUUAAGUUAAAUAAUUUUUCUUCAAUGGCCAGUAGAGGGCGCCAUAAUACUAUCUGGUUUGUUCACAGACAUAUAAACACAUAGACUGCCAGUAGUGCGCAUGAAACCGUGAUUUAAUAAUUGGGCAAAAUGUUUGUUGACAGCGCGCAUAACUGCGAUGCCACUCAAUGCGCCAACGUGCUUUGUACAGUACAUACAUUUAAAUUCAGUUCAUAAAUUAUUUUGGUAAAGGCUGUAUUACUCAAACUUUGCAAGAAAAUGUUUGGUACCGUAUUGUUUUUAUUCUACGGAAAUCAUAUUUAGUUCACUAGGGAUUGGUUUACAAUCAAAAACUAACUUCACAAUUUUUUUUUUUUUUGCAUGUUUGACUGGAAUUCGUCAACUGUGUGUAAAAUCCUAUACCGAGAGGUGAAUUUGCCCAUAGUUUUGAUUUUAGUCGGGCGCUAGGCAAAUCAUAAAAUGCUCAUGUAGUUUUGAAUAGGACCUGGCGGUCUAUGCAUUUAUAUGUCUGUGGGUUUGUUGCCUUACCUGCCAAAAAAUUGCUGACGGCAUAAUUCAGAGAAAAGAAUGAAAACGAAAUAAUUAGGCCUUGGAAUAAAAAAAAUUGUAUCAAUUCUGUGAAAUUUAAGAUUAUUGUAAACUGGGAGUAGUUUGUAUUUAACUUUAUUUAUGUUAGGCCAA